GACGAACGCUGGCGGCGUGCCUAAUACAUGCAAGUAGAACGCUGAAGGAGGAGCUUGCUCUUCUGGAUGAGUUGCGAACGGGUGAGUAACGCGUAGGUAACCUGCCUGGUAGCGGGGGAUAACUAUCGGAAACGAUAGCUAAUACCGCAUAAGAGUAGAUGUUGCAUGACAUUUACUUAAAAGGUGCAAUUGCAUCACUACCAGAUGGACCUGCGUUGUAUUAGCUAGUUGGUGGGGUAACGGCUUACCAAGGCGACGAUACAUAGCCGACCUGAGAGGGGGAUCGGCCACACUGGGACUGAGACACGGCCCAGACUCCUACGGGAGGCAGCAGUAGGGAAUCUUCGGCAAUGGACGGAAGUCUGACCGAGCAACGCCGCGUGAGUGAAGAAGGGUUUCGGAUCGUAAAGCUCUGUUGUAAGAGAAGAACGAGUGUGAGAGUGGAAAGUUCACACUGUGACGGUAGCUUACCAGAAAGGGACGGCUAACUACGUG
rnacentral:rRNA from 1 species